GGGCCACUGGGAAGCAGUGCAAUGAUGAAAGGGCAUCGGUCAGGUC
ensembl:miRNA